rnacentral:rRNA from 1 species
UACGAAGGGGGCGAGCGUUGUUCGGAAUCACUGGGCUUAAAGGGCGCGUAGGCGGGCUGUCAAGUCUGGGGUGAAAUCCCGCGGCUCAACCGUGGAACUGCCUCAGAUACUGACGGCCUCGAGGGAGGUAGGGGCGAGCGGAACUCUCAGUGGAGCGGUGAAAUGCGUUGAUAUUGGGAGGAACACCAAUGGCGAAGGCAGCACUCUGGGACGUGACUGACGCUGAGACGCGAAAGCGUGGGGAGCAAACAGG